GGGUAAGCAUGUAUUUAGCCAUAUAACCAAAGAAAAGAAAAAUAACAAGCAAAGAAAUUGCACAUCACACCAGAAAAUGAACAAGCCAUUGUUAAUAACUCUUAAUGACAUUCCAGCGGAAAAUUACUACAGUAGGUGCAACUUGAGAAAAGAGUGGGGAAGAAGAAAUACUACUAGAUAAGGUGAAAAGGGAGAAAAAAAGUCAAGCUUUCUUGCAAAUUCAAGAAGACAUGCAGGCAUUAUUCUGCGAGAAUUGGUUUCUGAACGAAUCUAAACUGGAACCGUCCGGCUAUUAUGUGAACCUUGCUCUCCAGGUUGAUUAUCGUCCUCGUUCUCACCUGACAAGUCCUCCAAAGAUUUUCCUUUUGAUUCAGGGACCAAGAAGGUGAAUAGGAUUCCCAAGAAGUUGAUUACACCCAACACAAUAAGUGAAUUCCUCACACCAAUGCCUGCAGGGUAUCCUGCAUCUGCCUUGGCCUUGUCCUUGUUCUGAGCCAAAUAUAAGAACCCAAAUGCACCAACUAUAGCCCCAAGCUUUCCAGAUGCGGCUGAUAUACCAUGACAAGUAGAUCUUAAUCUUGCAGGGAAAAUCUCGGCUGGCACAACGAAUGUGGUGGCAUUAGGUCCAAAGUUUGCAAAGAAGAAGGUUAAUGAGUACAUCACCACAAACCCAAUUCGGUUGUCCCUGUGUGUCCAAUGAUUGUAAGGAAUAGCCAAUGCAAACAUGAACACUGUCAUGAAG
rnacentral:misc_RNA from 1 species